rnacentral:rRNA from 1 species
UACGUAGGGUGCGAGCGUUGUCCGGAAUUAUUGGGCGUAAAGGGCUCGUAGGCGGUUUGUCGCGUCGGGAGUGAAAACCCAGGGCUUAACUCUGGGCUUGCUUUCGAUACGGGCAGACUAGAGGUAUGCAGGGGAGAACGGAAUUCCUGGUGUAGCGGUGAAAUGCGUAGAUAUCUGGAGGAACACCGGUGGCGAAGGCGGCGUUCUGGACUGCUACUGACACUGAGGAACGAAAGCCAGGGGAGCAAACGGG